AUUGAACGCUGGCGGCAGGCUUAACACAUGCAAGUCGAGCGGGGGAAGGUAGCUUGCUACUGGACCUAGCGGCGGACGGGUGAGUAAUGCUUAGGAAUCUGCCUAUUAGUGGGGGACAACAUCUCGAAAGGGAUGCUAAUACCGCAUACGUCCUACGGGAGAAAGCAGGGGAUCUUCGGACCUUGCGCUAAUAGAUGAGCCUAAGUCGGAUUAGCUAGUUGGUGGGGUAAAGGCAUACCAAGGCGACGAGCGGUAGCGGGUCUGAGAGGAGGGUCCGCCACACUGGGACUGGGCCACGGCCCAGACUCCUACGGGAGGCAGCAGUGGGGAAUAUUGGACAAUGGGGGGAACCCUGAUCCAGCCAUGCCGCGUGUGUGAAGAAGGCCUUAUGGUUGUAAAGCACUUUAAGCGAGGAGGAGGCUACUCUAGUUAAUACCCAGGGAUAGUGGACGUUACUCGCAGAAUAAGCACCGGCUAACUCUGUGCCAGCCGCCGCCGUAA
rnacentral:rRNA from 1 species